GGGCGCGUAGCUCAGCGGUUCAGAGCGCUGCCCUUACAAGGCAGAAGUCCCAGGUUCGAAUCCUGGCGCGCCCA
rnacentral:tRNA from 1 species